rnacentral:miRNA from 1 species
AUCCUUGGGUUUCUGCUCUCGG